GACGAACGCUUUCGGCGUGCUUAACACAUGCAAGUCGAACGGAAAGGCCCUGCUUUUGUGGGGUGCUCGAGUGGCGAACGGGUGAGUAACACGUGAGUAACCUGCCCUUGACUUUGGGAUAACUUCAGGAAACUGGGGCUAAUACCGGAUAGGAGCUCCUGCUGCAAGGUGGGGGUUGGAAAGUUUCGGCGGUUGGGGAUGGACUCGCGGCUUAUCAGCUUGUUGGUGGGGUAGUGGCUUACCAAGGCUUUGACGGGUAGCCGGCCUGAGAGGGUGACCGGCCACAUUGGGACUGAGAUACGGCCCAGACUCCUACGGGAGGCAGCAGUGGGGAAUAUUGCACAAUGGGCGGAAGCCUGAUGCAGCAACGCCGCGUGCGGGAUGACGGCCUUCGGGUUGUAAACCGCUUUCGCCUGUGACGAAGCGUGAGUGACGGUAAUGGGUAAAGAAGCACCGGCUAACUACGUGCCAGCAGCCGCGGUGAUACGUAGGGUGCGAGCGUUGUCCGGAUUUAUUGGGCGUAAAGGGCUCGUAGGUGGUUGAUCGCGUCGGAAGUGUAAUCUUGGGGCUUAACCCUGAGCGUGCUUUCGAUACGGGUUGACUUGAGGAAGGUAGGGGAGAAUGGAAUUCCUGGUGGAGCGGUGGAAUGCGCAGAUAUCAGGAGGAACACCAGUGGCGAAGGCGGUUCUCUGGGCCUUUCCUGACGCUGAGGAGCGAAAGCGUGGGGAGCGAACAGGCUUAGAUACCCUGGUAGUCCACGCUGUAAACGGUGGGUACUAGGUGUGGGGUCCAUUCCACGGGUUCCGUGCCGUAGCUAACGCUUUAAGUACCCCGCCUGGGGAGUACGGCCGCAAGGCUAAAACUCAAAGGAAUUGACGGGGCCCCGCACAAGCGGCGGAGCAUGCGGAUUAAUUCGAUGCAACGCGUAGAACCUUACCUGGGUUUGACAUGGAUCGGGAGUGCUCAGAGAUGGGUGUGCCUCUUUUGGGGUCGGUUCACAGGUGGUGCAUGGCUGUCGUCAGCUCGUGUCGUGAGAUGUUGGGUUAAGUCCCGCAACGAGCGCAACCCUUGUUCACUGUUGCCAGCACGUUAUGGUGGGGACUCAGUGGAGACCGCCGGGGUCAACUCGGAGGAAGGUGGGGAUGACGUCAAGUCAUCAUGCCCCUUAUGUCCAGGGCUUCACGCAUGCUACAAUGGCUGGUACAGAGAGUGGCGAGCCUGUGAGGGUGAGCGAAUCUCGGAAAGCCGGUCUCAGUUCGGAUUGGGGUCUGCAACUCGACCUCAUGAAGUCGGAGUCGCUAGUAAUCGCAGAUCAGCAACGCUGCGGUGAAUACGUUCCCGGG
rnacentral:rRNA from 1 species